rnacentral:rRNA from 1 species
AUUGAACGCUGGCGGCAUGCCUUACACAUGCAAGUCGAACGGCAGCACGGGAGCAAUCCUGGUGGCGAGUGGCGAACGGGUGAGUAGUACAUCGGAACGUGCCUAGUAGUGGGGGAUAGCCCGGCGAAAGCCGGAUUAAUACCGCAUGCGACCUGAGGGUGAAAGCGGGGGAUCGAAAGACCUCGCGCUAUCAGAGCGGCCGAUGCCAGAUUAGGUAGUUGGUGGGGUAAAAGCCUACCAUGCCGACGAUCUGUAGCUGGUCUGAGAGGACGACCAGCCACACUGGGACUGAGACACGGCCCAGACUCCUACGGGAGGCAGCAGUGGGGAAUUUUGGACAAUGGGCGCAAGCCUGAUCCAGCCAUGCCGCGUGCAGGAAGAAGGCCUUCGGGUUGUAAACUGCUUUUGUCAGGGAAGAAAAGUUCUGGGCUAAUACCCCGGAGCGAUGACGGUACCUGAAGAAUAAGCACCGGCUAACUAUGUGCCAGCCGCCGCAGUAA